UACAGUGUAGACCCUGCUUCACGG
rnacentral:piRNA from 1 species